rnacentral:rRNA from 1 species
AUACAUGCAACUCGAGCGGACAGAUGGGAGCUUGCUCCCUGAUGUUAGCGGCGGACGGGUGAGUAACACGUGGGUAACCUGCCUGUAAGACUGGGAUAACUCCGGGAAACCGGGGCUAAUACCGGAUGGUUGUUUGAACCGCAUGGUUCAGACAUAAAAGGUGGCUUCGGCUACCACUUACAGAUGGACCCGCGGCGCAUUAGCUAGUUGGUGAGGUAACGGCUCACCAAGGCAACGAUGCGUAGCCGACCUGAGAGGGUGAUCGGCCACACUGGGACUGAGACACGGCCCAGACUCCUACGGGAGGCAGCAGUAGGGAAUCUUCCGCAAUGGACGAAAGUCUGACGGAGCAACGCCGCGUGAGUGAUGAAGGUUUUCGGAUCGUAAAGCUCUGUUGUUAGGGAAGAACAAGUGCCGUUCAAAUAGGGCGGCACCUUGACGGUACCUAACCAGAAAGCCACGGCUAACUACGUGCCAGCAGCCGCGGUAAUACGUAGGUGGCAAGCGUUGUCCGGAAUUAUUGGGCGUAAAGGGCUCGCAGGCGGUUUCUUAAGUCUGAUGUGAAAGCCCCCGGCUCAACCGGGGAGGGUCAUUGGAAACUGGGGAACUUGAGUGCAGAAGAGGAGAGUGGAAUUCCACGUGUAGCGGUGAAAUGCGUAGAGAUGUGGAGGAACACCAGUGGCGAAAGCGACUCUCUGGUCUGUAACUGACGCUGAGGAGCGAAAGCGUGGGGAGC